CAGUCGCUAUUACGAUACCGCCCUCUUAUGCGCGUAUGCCUACCUGACGUUACGAACGAUUUCAAAAUCACCUCGCGUAACGCGUAACAAUCUCGUUAGUUUGUAUUAUUCGAAAAAAAAGAGCAAUCGAUCCUUUCUUGGGAUUAUCUCGCUCUAGACUAAAGAACAGAGAUUUCGAAACGAGACUUUAAGCUCCCAAACUUAUUUCAUAUUUCACAUAACAUCAAGUAUAAUUAGUGAUUAAGCGAUAUGGAGCCCCAAAUCGAAUGAAACGUUUCAUCCUAAAAUUACGUUGAUCGGUAAAUUGCAGACACGUACUACGAUAAAGAUAUAAAAGGCGGAAUUAUUUAUUUCGAAGACGAUGAGCCGUUUAAUGCACGACAUGGAUAUUAAUGUAUUCAGAUGAAAGUAUCACGAUCACCGAAUUGGACGUUUUGUUAGUUUAAAGCAAAGUUGCGUGAUAAAGACAUCGUAUACUUCGCAAUGGGAACCAAGGUUCGUUUAAAAUUCAUUCGAACAAUCGAUUUUCUUAGUACUUCAUGGUAAACGUUCAAUAAAAUGAUAUUACAUUGAAACACAUUGAAUGAGAAUGAACGCUUCUCUCGAAUUUGGUUGGAAUAGUUAAAGAACAGAAAAUUAAUGGAUUUGAAAAUAAAACAAAUUAUAUACAGAAAUGAGAUGUAACAAAUGAAACGAGAUAUAGUUUGAAAUUAUUGAAGACAAUCGUUUAAACGAUCUUGAAACUACUGUGGUAUUUAAUUAUAUUAACUUGUGUCUUUAAUCUUAAAUACAAAGGUAUACACAAAUGUCUGUAUAAAUAAAAUUCUUAUCAUAUACUUGUAAA